AACCUGGAGACAGGUGCUGCAUGGCUGUCGUCAGCUCGUGUCGUGAGAUGUAGGGUUAAGUCCCGCAACGAGCGCCAACCCUUGUCUUUAAUUGCCAUCAUUGAGUUGGGCACUUUAAAGAGACUGCCGGUGUUAAACCGGAGGAAGGUGGGGAUGACGUCAAGUCCUCAUGGCCUUUAUGCCCAAGGCUACACACGUGCUACAAUGGGUGGUACAAAGAGCAGCCAGCUCGCGAGAGUGAGCAAAUCUACAAAAGCCAUCCUCAGGUUCGGAUUGGAGUCUGCAACUCGACUCCAUGAAGUUGGAAUCGCUAGUAAUCGUGGAUCAGCAUGCCACGGUGAAUACGUUCCCGGGCCUU
rnacentral:rRNA from 1 species